rnacentral:rRNA from 1 species
CCUACGGGAGGCAGCAGUGGGGAAUAUUGCACAAUGGGGGGAACCCUGAUGCAGCGACGCCGCGUGAGCGAUGAAGUAUUUCGGUAUGUAAAGCUCUAUCAGCAGGGAAGAAAAUGACGGUACCUGACUAACAAGCCCCUGCUAACUACGUGCCAGCAGCCGCGGUAAUACGUAGGGGGCAAGCGUUCUCCGGAUAUACUGGGUGUAAAGGGAGCGUAGACGGCUGUGCAAGUCUGGAGUGAAAGGCAUGGGCUCAACCUGUGGACUGCUUUGGAAACUGGGCGGCUUGAGUAUCGGAGAGGGAAGUGGAAUUCCUAGUGUAGCGGUGAAAUGCGUAGAUAUUAGGAGGAACACCAGUGGCGAAGGCGGCUUGCUGGACGAUGACUGACGUUGAGGCUCGAAAGCGUGGGGAGCAAACAGGAUCAGAUACCCCAGUAGUC